CCGAGUCGAUCUGGCAGCCGAGUCAAUCUGACACCCACACCGGUACGCCAAAGGGAGGAGGUAGAGUGUUCCUGGCGUAAUGAGGGAAUUGGAGGCAGCCGUGUUCUGGCUGCCGGGGAUAUAGGCGGUGUCCUGUGGCCCCAUUCUCUCUCUCUCUCUGAUGGACGCGGUUUGACGGCUGGAUGCAGGGGAUCGCAUUGUCUUCUCUGCGCCCAUGUUGAUUUAUGGAACUGCCUGUCAAUAAAUAUAGUUUAUUGUAAUGAACGUUACCCGAC
ensembl:lncRNA